UCAUAACAUAAAGCCUGUCUGCUACACGUGAAGCUUAUUGCAACGUUGUUUUUUUUUUUUUGGUUGAACACCCACCUUCUUUGACAUAGACAUUGACACAAGCCCAUAACUGUUUUUCGAAGUCCAUAUGAACUGAGAAACACAACUACAACAACGACAAUAAAAAAAGUUUUAAGUCAAGCAACACAGCACAGAGAGAGAUAAUAGAGAAGCAGGAUCAGUGCCAUGGCUCUCUCACCCUGCUUUUCCCCUUUGGUAUUUCUCUUUCUCAUUGUUGGGUGUGUUGCACGGCCUUUCUAUCCACUCCCUAGUAAAGUAGCUGAGGGCACUAGAAAGCCCCUACAAACUUCUCGUCCAUAUAACAUAGCACAUUGAGGUUCAAAUGGAGAGAUUCCUGAAGAAACUGCUCCUGCAUACCAGAGAGCUAUUGAAGAGGGUGCAGACUUCAUUGAAACCGAUAUCCUUUCUUCCAAAGAUGGCGUUCUUAUAUGCUUCCAUGAUGUAACACUUGAUGAUACCACUGAUAUUCUUCAACACAAGGAGUUUGCCAAUUGUAAAAGGACCUAUGAAGUCCAAGGAAACUAUACCACUGGAUUUUUUACUGUUGAUUUCACCAUAAAAGAACUAAAGUCAUUGCGGGUGAAGCAGAGGUACCCAUUUCGGGAUCAACAAUAUGAUGGAAAGUUUACUGUUAUUACCUUUGAAGAGUACAUUUUAAUUGCAUUGGAUGCACCCAGAGUUGUUGGAAUAUACCCGGAGAUUAAAAAUCCAGUCUUUAUCAAUGAGCAUGUGAAGUGGCCGGGUGGUAAGAGAUUUGAGGAUAAGUUUGUGGAGACACUUAAGAAGUAUGGAUACAAGGGUUCAUAUUUGUCAAAAGAGUGGUUGGCACAACCUGCCUUUAUCCAGUCAUUUGCUCCAACCUCACUAAUAUAUGUUUCAAAUCAGACAGACUUGCCCAAGAUCUUCUUAAUUGAUGAGGUUACCAUUCCAACUCAAGACACUAAUCAGUCGUAUUGGGAAAUUACUUCGGAUAGUUACUUUCAGUACAUUAAGCAAUAUGUGGAGGGCAUUGGACCUUGGAAGGAUACAGUGGUUCCUGUAAAAGAUAAUUAUGUGCUAACACCUACUGAUCUUGUUGCCAGAGCACACGCCCAUAACCUACAGGUUCACCCAUACACUUUCCGCAAUGAGAAUAAGUUCUUACACUUUAACUUUCAUCAAGAUCCAUAUCAGGAAUAUGCUUACUGGAUUCACGAGAUAGGAGUUGAUGGAAUCUUUACAGACUUCACAGGAAGCCUCAAUAAUUAUCAGGAAUGGACUUCUCAAUCUUCAGAUGAUAGUGAUAGCAGUGCAUCUAAACUUUUGCAUAAAAUUGCAUUGUUGGUCAAUUCCUAUGAGAGGGUAUGAGGGAACAAAUUGUAUGUAUAAUGUAUCACUAUAUUUUUAUCAAUGCAUAAUGUAUCUAAAUUUUUCAUGGCAAUUACUUUGUACGAUAACAUUAUUGAAUCUGGGUACGAUAACAUUAUUGAAUCUGUUCAAUAAAGGAAAUUUAUGA